rnacentral:miRNA from 1 species
UCAACAGGCCAAGAUCAGCUCU